CCCUAACCUUAUUUUACCCUAAUCCCUACCCACACUCACCGCCACUCACCGCCAUUCACCCUACCCCCAUUUUCCCAAACACAUACACAACACCAACUCAGAUAGACAGAGAGAAAGAAAGAAAAGGCAGAAAGAAAAGAGAGAAAAUGGAAAAAGAAAAGGGAAGAGAUGAGGAAACAGGGGAAGAAGAAGAGGAAAGUAGGGAAGGUGCCGUCGCCGCCACCACGCUCUGCAGCGUCACCGGCGAACUUGCCAAACCGGGUCGCUAUUAGAGGCCAGAACCAAGAGAAAGUGAGAUCCGAGAGAGUGAGGAAGAGAGGAAAGACGCGUCGGAGCUGGUGGGUUGUUCCGCCGCUCCUCGUCACGGCUGAAGCCGUCGCCACCGCAGCUGCGUCCGCGCCGUCGAGUGUCGCCGUUAGAGUAAGAGAAGUGCGAACUAGAGCCAUGCAAGAGAGGAGCAGAGCGCGCGCAGGGGAGAAGCUGCCGCUGCCGUUGCAUCUUGCAGUCGCUGCCACUGCUGAGGUCGCCGUUGUCGUCCUUAUCGCAAGCUAGAGUCACCGCCAUCCAUGGUGGAGCCGAGGAGAGAUAGUGCACGAAGAGAGGGAGACUGAUUGAGGAGGAGUGCAAUGCGAGGAAGGAUAUGAUGUUUACGUCACCGUCACCGAAUCUCACCGCCACAGCUGGAGCCUCUGGCCAUCGGGCAUGCCCUUGUUGCCGGUGAACGAAGCUGUUUCGCCAAUAGCCACUGCCGUCGCCGCCGCCGGAGUUCUAAUCACCGUUGUCGCUCGAGGUGGUUGCCGGGGCUGCCGCCAAACUAGUUCAGCGACCGCCGCUAUUUCAUUUUCUUAGUUUGGGUCGUAUUCUGAGCAUUGCAUGUCACUUUUAAGUUGCUGUGAAUGCUGCGAAAGUGAUUAGGAACUGAGUUUGUGGUUGCUAUUGGUUUCGGGUUGAGCUAAAAGGUUUCGUUAACGCAUUUUUGGUUAUGGUUUCGACAAGUUGAGGUAGGAGCUGUUAUACAAACUAAUUUAUUUUAAAUUAGAAUUGUUAUAAAUAGAUAUGACUUGCUAAAUGUAUUUCUGGUGAUUAUGUAAGUCUUAUGCAUUGUCUGAUUUGUCUUGGAUGAAUAUGGUCGUCUGUUGAAUUGAAAUAAUAACUGAUUUUGUUAAAUGGAAGUUUCUGGUUGUUUUAAUUUGAAAUAAUCUUUAAUGUUUGAAAGUUUGAAUUUGGUUUUAUUUGAAACUGAUUUGGUCUUGAACCCAUUGGAAAGGGGUUAAAGAUUCGUUUGGUUGGGACCCGAAAGGUUGGCAAAGUCCAAAUUUUAGGGGAGAUGCUGUCAAAUUUUCAUGAAAAUUUAGAUUCUAUUUUAAAAUAUGAUUUAGAAAAAGAAUGAAUUUGAGAGGUUCCACUGCUUAGUUUUUGAUUUAUUAAGAAAAAGAUGUUUCGAGUUUAAUCUGUUUAUGGGAAGUUUAUGUUAAGAUUGAUUUAAAUAUGAAAGAACCUAUAUUUUGAAGUUUGAUUAAAGAAGUACUUUUGGAAGAGUUUUUAGGGGAUUUUAAAAGAAAUUGAACUUUGAUUAAUUAAGUUCAUUUUGCUUUUAAACAAUUAUGGACAUUUGAGAAGGUUACCGAUUUAAGAAUGAAAUGGAAUUGAUUUGGAAUUUAGUAUUUUAAACAUGCUUUGGUUUUUGUUUUAAGUCUCUAUCUCUAUUUACUUCAAAUUAAGUAACUAUGAUUUUUGGGGAUUUCUAAAGAAUUUAAGAAAUGAUGUAGGCUAUUCUUCUCUAGAGUCUUGAGUCUUUGCCAAGGUUAUUAAUUGACAACUCUAUUUUAAAAUAGUUUAACGGAUAAUUUAAAAAGUAAAAGAUUUGUGUCUUUUCAAAGAGGAUCGGUUUUAAAGAAAAGUGGAUUAUGAACUUGGAACAAUUGAGAUAUGAGGAUUAUGAAUUUUGAAACAAAGAUGAGUUUGUUUUCUGGUUUUAAAGAAAAAAGUGACUUAUGGCUUGAAAGAUGAUUGAUUUGAUACGAUUUGUUAAUGAAGUGCAGAAAUGAUGAUGAAUAAAUGAAUAUGUGGGUUUUGAACUUCAUUUAUCUGAGAUACGAGUUUUUCUGGGUAAAGUACCGUGGCUUGUCACCACGUGUUUUAGGUUGAGACUCGAUACUCUGUUGACCCUACGACGUAAGAGUGACCAAGCACUUAUAAAUUCUUAGGAAUGGUACACUCAUUGAGCGAUUUGAUAUAUAUAUAUAUAUAUAUAUAUAUAUAUGAGAAAAAGCUAUGCAUAGACUCAUGGGGAUGCGCGUCAGAUGACAGUCCAAGGGUUUAGCAAACCGGACUUGUCAGGUUGGCUUGAUAACCGACAGAUGAGACUCAUCAGGCAUAGGACAGGCAUUUAUCAUAUGCAUCUAUGUGAUAUUGUUUGGGUGUGCAUAUUAUACUUGGUUUGACUAUGUGAAUAAUUAUGUUUAAUUGCUAAUUGCUCUAUUUGAUGUAACUGCUUGACUGUUCUUGAAUAUUCCUAUUUGUGUUUGUGACUAAAAAUUGGUUGGUUUGUGGUGGAUUGAUUGUUGAUUGAGUUGUUUGAGUCGAAGGCCGUGAUUGAUUACUUGAUGGGCCGAAGGCCGUGAAUGGUUUGUGUCUUUAGUUUAGAAAAGUAUGAAAAACUAAACUGGUUCAGCAUAGACUUAAUGAACCUAUGCUUGGAACAGUUUAGUCAUUCAUGCUGUCUAGAAAAAACUUUUAAAAAGAUUUUUGGAUUUCUGAGAAAUUAACAUCUUUCCUUUUCAGAAAGGAUUUUGGAUUUUGAAUAUUAAAUCUUUGGUUUUGAAAAGAAGCAUAAGGCGGUUAUUAAUCACUGUACUUUAAAAACGAUUUUAUUUUCUUAUCUUAUUGUAGCAAUUCUGUAACCCUAUAGUGAGAACCCUUUCGAGGACGAUGUUCUCACUUCCCUACAGGUUUUUCUCUUUUCAGGGUAUGGGCGACGAACCUUCAGAAGAGUUAUAUUAAUUUUCUGUUUAUUCGAUAUUAUUUUGUAUUAUCUUAGCUUUUUUAUUUCACUAAAAAACACCCAUUCAGCCACACUUUUUUUAAGCUACAUUUGAAAAGCGUAGCCUAUUCAUAGAAUAGGCUACGCUUUUCUCCGUGUUCCCCUUUUAUAAGAGAAUAGGAAACACAAUUAUAGCAUCAUUUAAAAAGUGUAGCCUUAGAUACAAUAAAAUUCACUUAUAAAGCGUAGCCUUAUGUUAAUAUCUAUGGGUACACUUUUCAUACCAAAGGGAACGCUUUUGAAGAGUGACAUAUUUGUUAGGAUUUGGGUGCGCUUUAAAAGCGUUGCCUAAUGUAAAAACCCCAAAUACGCAUAGAACACUUAGUGAAAUUUUAUUUUGUUUCCUUUUCAUCAUCGAAGCUUUGCACUCUCAUUCGGUCAUUCCUUCUCACCUACCAAAGCCCCAAAUAACAAAACCCAGCCGCUUCUCCAAUCUCCCCGUCGUUGUGCCUUCCGUUGUUGUGCGCCACUGUCGCCGUCUCGCUUGUCUGCUCGUCGCCCUUAGUCGCGCUUCUGCCGCCGUCCGUCCAUCUUCGCAGCUCUUCCUUGAAAGGAUGUGAAAACCCUAGCCUCCAUCGCGCCGCCAUCAAUCUCACCAUCGCCGCUCGUCGCGCUCAAGAUCGGCACUAGGUUCGUCGUGGUCGUUCGCAAUCCUCAUGGUUCGUUGUUCUCGAGGGCCCUUGAUCCCCUCGUUCGCCAAUGUUUGCUCUCUUGUCCUGUUUCGCAGCUCUUCACCGUUGUCUGUCGUCGUGUUUAUCGCCAGCUCGCCGUCAUCGAAGGUCAAUGCUCUGUUCGUGGCUCACUGUAAUAGUGUAAUGACAUUGUUAUUCGUUUUUUUUGCUCUGUUCAUAAGGGUUAUUGAUCUUUGAAUUAUUCUUGAAUGUUUUUUUUAUCAAUUUUUCAUUCAUUGAUUAAUUGAUUGUUGAGUAGCUCUUACUGCUGUUUGUGAUUUUCAUUGUAAAUAUGCUGCUAUCCUGCUAUUCUUUGUGCUUUUGUGGCUGUCUGUGAUUAGAUUGUGCUGUUUGUGAUUAUUUCAUCCCAUAUUAUUGAUAGUUAACUGGAUUUAAUUUUGUUCCUGGGGUUUGAGUUUCUUCUCCAAACUCCCCAGUUGCCUUCACUACCUCUCUCUUGGUCCAGAGAUUCCGUCUCCACAGAACACUAGGUUGAAUUGAAUUGAAUUGAAUCAUGGAUAAGAGCAUGUUAGCUGGUUUGGAAUCACUUCCAGAAGCUGAUCAGCAAAGAAUGGCGUCCAUGAUGUAACAGGUUCAAAUCCGUGACAGUUACUGGUUCGGGUUCGGGUUCCGGUGAAGCCAAGCUUGCAGAUGGUUCAUAUUUAGCUGGUUUAGCCAUGGGAGACUCACCUAGGAGGAUAUUUUCAAGUGUUUAAUGGUGGGUUCGAUGAAUUUUGGCUCUUUCCAACUAAAGCUGGCACAGAUUCUUCUUGCAUUAUUGACAGCUUCUGUUACAUAUGAUCACAAAGCAAUUGUUGUUAAUGGGCAGAGAAAGAUUCUGUUUUCUGGUUCUAUACACUACCCCAGAAGCACACCUCAGAUAUGGCCAGAGCUUAUUCAAAAAGUUAAAGAGGGAGGGUUGGAUGUUAUUCAAACCUAUGUGUUUUGGAAUGGCCAUGAACCUUCUCCAGGAAAAUAUUAUUUCGAGGAUAGGUACAAACUUAGUUAAGUUCAUCAAGGAAGUGCAGCAAGCUGGACUUUAUGUUAAUCUCCGAAUUGGUCCCUACAUAUGUUCUGAAUGGAACUUUGGGGUAACUUUGCAGCCAUCUUGAAGGCAAUGCAUUCUUUUAGUGCUGAAUCAGAAAAGGAGUUGAGCUUUUCAAAGGUUUGACAUAUUUGCUGAAUUUGAAAUAGAAUUGUUGGGAUCAGAAGGGAUUGUGAAUAAGGAGGACUCUAAAUUUUGAAGGGUGUGGAGUUGGUGCGGUUGAGAGAAGGGCUUUUGGACCAUUUGGCAUUUUGGCUAUUGCAAAUGACCAACUUUCUGAACUAACACCAAUUUAUUUCCGUUUUUCAAAUUAUGGAAAUGGAACCUCAACUACUACAACUAUUACUACUUCUACUUCUACUUUCUUCUGUGUUGAUGAAACUAGGUCAUCAAAGGCACCUGAUGUAUCAAAGCUAGUUUUUGGAAGCAAAUUGCCUGUUCUAAGUGAUGAAAAACUAUCAUUGAAGCUUUCCGAGGCAAAAAAAACGAGAGCGAGCCUUUACGAAUAGAGGACACCGGAAUCAGUUGCGCUCAAUGGGAGAAGCCAAGAAUUUGCUUCAAUAUAUGUUCAAUUCAGUCGCAGAUGUUAGCUGCUCUAUUUGACAUCAAUUUGUUUUUUUCUCUUCUAUCAGAAGAUUAAUAACUUUUAUUAGAAGAUACUUAUGUAGGAUACAAUAUUUUGGUUUUUUAUAGUUUAUUAGUAGUAAAUUCUAAGUGGUCUAAUGUAUAUUUUAAUAUGGGUAUGUUUAAUUUAGUGUGAGAUGUAUGAAUACUCAUUUAUGAUCAUCCCAAUAUUUUUAGUUCAUUAUAAAUAUAUUUUGU